rnacentral:rRNA from 1 species
UACAGAGGGUGCAAGCGUUGUUCGGAAUUACUGGGCGUAAAGCGCGUGUAGGCGGCCCUGCAAGUCGGGUGUGAAAUCCCAUGGCUCAACCAUGGAAGUGCACUCGAAACUGCAGGGCUAGAGUCCUGGAGAGGAAGGUGGAAUGCUUGGUGUAGAGGUGAAAUUCGUAGAUAUCAAGCGGAACACCGGUGGCGAAGGCGGCCUUCUGGACAGUGACUGACGCUGAGACGCGAAAGCGUGGGGAGCAAACAGG